UACGUAGGGUGCAAGCGUUGUUCGGAUUCAUUGGGCGUAAAGGGUGCGUAGGCGGCGCGGUAAGUCGGGUGUGAAAUCUCGGAGCUUAACUCCGAAACUGCAUUCGAUACUGCCGUGCUUGAGGACUGGAGAGGAGACUGGAAUUUACGGUGUAGCGGUGAAAUGCGUAGAUAUCGUAAGGAAGACCAGUGGCGAAGGCGGGUCUCUGGACAGUUCCUGACACUGAGACACGAAGGCCAGGGGAGCAAACGGG
rnacentral:rRNA from 1 species